rnacentral:rRNA from 1 species
GGACAACCUACCCUACAGAAGGGGAUAACCCCGGGAAACUGGGGAUAAUACCCUAUAGACUAUGGAUGCUGGAAUGCUCUGUAGCCGAAAGGUCCGCCGCUGUAGGAUGGGUCUGCGGCCGAUUAGGUUGUUGUUGGGGUAACGGCCCAACAAGCCUGUAAUCGGUACGGGUUGUGGGAGCAAGAGCCCGGAGAUGGAUUCUGAGACACGAAUCCAGGCCCUACGGGGCGCAGCAGGCGCGAAAACUUUGCAAUGCGGGAAACCGUGACAAGGGAACUCUGAGUGCCCGUAAAAUCGGGCUGUCCAUCGGUUUAAAUAACCGGUGAAGAGAGGGCCGGGCAAGACCGGUGCCAGCCGCCGCGGUAAUACCGGCGGCUCGAGUGGUGGCCACUAUUACUGGGCUUAAAGCGUUCGUAGCUGGUUUGUUAAGUCUCUGGGGAAAUCUUCCGGCUUAACCGGAAGGCGUCUCAGGGAUACUGGCAGACUAGGGACCGGGAGAGGUGAGAGGUACUCCAGGGGUAGGAGUGAAAUCCUGUAAUCCUUGGGGGACCACCUGUGGCGAAGGCGUCUCACCAGAACGGCUCCGACAGUGAGGGACGAAAGCUGGGGGAGCAAACCGGAUUAGAUACCCGGGUAGUCCCAGCUGUAAACGAUGCGCGUUAGGUGUAUCGGUGACCACGAGUCACCGAGGUGCCGAAGAGAAAUCGUGAAACGUGCCGCCUGGGAAGUACGGUCGCAAGGCUGAAACU